GACGAACGCUGGCGGCGUGCUUAACACAUGCAAGUCGAACGGAAAGGCCCUGCUUUUGUGGGGUGCUCGAGUGGCGAACGGGUGAGUAACACGUGAGUAACCUGCCCUUGACUUUGGGAUAACUUCAGGAAACUGGGGCUAAUACCGGAUAGGAGCUCCUGCUGCAUGGUGGGGGUUGGAAAGUUUCGGCGGUUGGGGAUGGACUCGCGGCUUAUCAGCUUGUUGGUGGGGUAGUGGCUUACCAAGGCUUUGACGGGUAGCCGGCCUGAGAGGGUGACCGGCAAAAUUGGGACUGAGAUACGGCCCAGACUCCUACGGGAGGAAGAAGUGGGGAAUAUUGCACAAUGGGCGGAAGCCUGAUGCAGCAACGCCGCGUGCGGGAUGACGGCCUUCGGGUUGUAAACCGCUUUCGCCUGUGACGAAGCGUGAGUGACGGUAAUGGGUAAAGAAGCACCGGCUAACUACGUG
rnacentral:rRNA from 1 species